rnacentral:rRNA from 1 species
AGGCCGGAUAUGGAAGCACGGUAACGUGUGGAGUUGACCGGUACUAAUAGGCCGAGGGCUUGUCCUCAGUUG